GACGAACGCUGGCGGCGUGCUUAACACAUGCAAGUCGAACGGAAAGGCCCUGCUUGCAGGGUACUCGAGUGGCGAACGGGUGAGUAACACGUGGGUGAUCUGCCCUGCACUUCGGGAUAAGCCUGGGAAACUGGGUCUAAUACCGGAUAGGAGCCAUUUUUAGUGUGAUGGUUGGAAAGUUUUUUCGGUGUAGGAUGAGCUCGCGGCCUAUCAGCUUGUUGGUGGGGUAAUGGCCUACCAAGGCGGCGACGGGUAGCCGGCCUGAGAGGGUGGACGGCCACAUUGGGACUGAGAUACGGCCCAGACUCCUACGGGAGGCAGCAGUGGGGAAUAUUGCACAAUGGGCGCACGCCUGAUGCAGCGACGCCGCGUGGGUGAUGACGGCCUUCGGGUUGUAAACUCCUUUCGCUAGGGACGACGCUUUUUGUGACGGUACCUAGAUAAGAAGCACCGGCUAACUCCGUG
rnacentral:rRNA from 1 species